rnacentral:misc_RNA from 1 species
UCUCCGUAGGUGAACCUGCGGAGGGAUCAUUACCGAGUGAGGGCCCCCGGUCCGACCUCCAACCCUUUGUGUUUCUGACUGUGUUGCCUCGGGGGCGACCCGGCGCGUUUAUCGCGUUGGGGCCCCCGGUGGACCAACCCAUAACACUGCAUCUUUGCGUCGGAUAUCAACGAAAAUAAAUAAAAACUUUCAACAACGGAUCUCUUGGUUCUGGCAUCGAUGAAGAACGCAGC